rnacentral:rRNA from 1 species
UACGAAGGGGGCUAGCGUUGUUCGGAAUUACUGGGCGUAAAGCGCGCGCAGGCGGUCCUUUAAGUCGGGGGUGAAAGCCCAGAGCUCAACUCUGGAACUGCCUUCGAAACUAGAGGACUUGGGUACGGGAGAGGUGAGUGGAAUUCCGAGUGUAGAGGUGAAAUUCGUAGAUAUUCGGAAGAACAUCAGUGGCGAAGGCGGCUCACUGGCCCGUUACCGACGCUCAGGCGCGACAGCGUGGGGAGCAAACAGG